rnacentral:rRNA from 1 species
GAUGAACGCUGGCGGCGUGCUUAACACAUGCAAGUCGAACGGAAAGGCCCAAGCUUGCUUGGGUACUCGAGUGGCGAACGGGUGAGUAACACGUGGGUGAUCUGCCCUGCACUUCGGGAUAAGCCUGGGAAACUGGGUCUAACACUGGAUAGGACCACUUCUUGGAUGUUGUGGUGGAAAGUUUUUUCGGUGUGGGAUGAGCUCGCGGCCUAUCAGCUUGUUGGUGGGGUAUUGGCCUACCAAGGCGUCGACGGGUAGCCGGCCUGAGAGGGUGUACGGCCACAUUGGGACUGAGAUACGGCCCAGACUCCUACGGGAGGCAGCAGUGGGGAAUAUUGCACAAUGGGCGCAAGCCUGAUGCAGCGACGCCGCGUGGGGGAUGACGGCCUUCGGGUUGUAAACUCCUUUCGCUAGGGACGAAGCGUUUUGUGACGGUACCUGGAGAAGAAGCACCGGCUAACUACGUG